CCCAUGAUGUCUUAGAGGGUUGGAAAAGAACUGAGGUCAGCCACAUAUCUGAGCACCAUGAAUACACCAGCUACAGGAUCAGUGCACCCUGCCUUAAAAAGCCAGCUGCAAUGAAACACUUUCAAAUGGAGAAGCAUCUGGAUGUUGAGGAUAUCAGAGAAGCCUCCUGCUGGUCUGGAAAGGAGAUCAGCUAUGCCUGAAGAAACAGAACCUACAAAUAACCGAGGUACUCCUUGGUAGGAGCCUCACAUCCACCAGAGUUUUCGUGAGCUAACCGGUCUACAAGAUGACUGCCAUGCUGUAGCUGCUGGAGGUAGCCUGAUCAAAAACACCGUCAGUGUGGAGAUGAUUGAUUGAUUCUUCUUUGUAUCUCCUGUAAUACCCACAUCUUUGCUCUAGCCAACCAUUAAAGAGAGCAUGGUUGUAUUAUAGGUAUUAAACAGCAUGUAUUAUAUACAGGUCCAAAUGGUAAAGAGCAAGUAGAUGAGUUAGAGGGAGGAUA